GACUCUUACGGGAGGCAGCAGUGGGGAAUUUAGACAAUGGGCGCAAGCCUGAUCUAGCCAUGCCGCGUGAGUGAUGAAGGCCUUAGGGUCGUAAAGCUCUUUCGCCUGUGAUGAUAAUGACAGUAGCAGGUAAAGAAACCCCGGCUAACUCCGUGCCAGCAGCCGCGGUAAUACGGAGGGGGUUAGCGUUGUUCGGAAUUACUGGGCGUAAAGCGCACGUAGGCGGAUUGGAAAGUUGGGGGUGAAAUCCCGGGGCUCAACCCCGGAACUGCCUCCAAAACUAUCAGUCUAGAGUUCGAGAGAGGUGAGUGGAAUUCCAAGUGUAGAGGUGAAAUUCGUAGAUAUUUGGAGGAACACCAGUUGCGAAGGCGGCUCACUGGCUCGAUACUGACGCUGAGGUGCGAAAGUGUGGGGAGCAAACAGGAUUAGAUACCCUGGUAGUCCACACCGUAAACGAUGAAUGCCAGUCGUCGGGCAGUAUACUGUUCGGUGACACACCUAACGGAUUAAGCAUUCCGCCUGGGGAGUACGGUCGCAAGAUUAAAACUCAAAGGAAUUGACGGGGGCCCGCACAAGCGGUGGAGCAUGUGGUUUAAUUCGACGC
rnacentral:rRNA from 1 species